rnacentral:misc_RNA from 1 species
UACGUAGGUGGCAAGCGUUGUCCGGCAUUAAUGGGCGUAAAGCGCGCGCAGGCGGUUCUUUAAGUCUGAUGUGAAACCCCACGGCUCAACCGCGGAGGGUCAUCGGAAACUGGGAGACUUGAGUACAGAAGAGGAGAGUGGAAUUCCACGUGUAGCGGUGAAAUGCGUAGAUAUGUGGAGGAACACCAGUGGCGAAGGCGACUCCCUGGUCUGUAACUGACGCUGAGGCGCGAAAGCGUGGGGAGCAAACAGG